AUGCUUUCCUGUUUCUCCUCUGCUAGUACAUCACAAGGUGAAGUGUCUUCAGGAUUACUUUGGUGCCAAUUUGCUUGGUUUCAUCACAAGGUCAAGGUGAAGUGUCCGCUCCUCGCACCUCUACCUCGCCACCGACGAGAACGCAACACAGGAGGAUCCCUCUCGAGUGGCUUGGAGUACCAUGGUUGGCUGUGUGCGUGCAGUUCCGAGGGCGUCGACAUGUCGUUCACAUUUUUUUGUUUUGGAAAAAAAAAAUCUCUAGUGCAGUGCUGUUCGAUUUAUUUGUUUCCGAAAAGAAGUCUGGUGCACUGCACUUUGCUUUUUUUAGAAGGCAUGCAGUACAGUUUUACUAUUUGCUUUCAUGCCGGCCAGAUUACUGGAUUUUAG
rnacentral:rRNA from 1 species